rnacentral:rRNA from 1 species
CCUGCGGAAGGAUCAUUGUCGAAACCUGCAAAGCAGACCGCGAACCCGUUCCGAACAACCCCGGGGCAGCGAGGGCCAGGCAACCUCCCACCGAGGCCUCAACCCUGUUGCCGCGCGCGCCCACGCCGCGUCGACAGGGCUAACAAACUCGGGUGCGGAAUGCGCCAAGGAAUACACAUCGUGGCGCUCUCCUCCCCCUCCACGCCCCAUCUGCGGGGCGGCGGGGGAGCCGGGGACGUCUAUCAAAUGUCAAAAUGACUCUCGGCAACGGAUAUCUCGGCUCUCGCAUCGAUGAAGAACGUAGCAAAAUACGACACUUGGUGUGAAUUGCAAAAUCUCAUGAACCAUCGAGUCUUUGAACGCAAGUUGCGCCCGAAGCCAUUAGGCCGAGGGCACGUCUGCCUGGGCGUCACGCAUCGCAUCGCCCCCCUCCCCCGCGGGGUGGGGUGGAGAUUGGCCUCCCGUGCGCGAUUGCGCGCGUGGCCGGCCCAAAUACGAAUCCUCCGUCGGUGCGCAUCGCGACCAGUGGUGGUUGAUGAUUCAACUCACGUGAUGUCGCGUCCCGCGUCGCCGUCGGCCCGAAAACGAUCACGAAACCCAACGGCGCGAGGACGCAUCGUGCCCACGACCGCGACCCCAGGUCAGGUGGGAUCACCCGCUGAGUUUAAGCAUAUCAAUAAGC